rnacentral:sRNA from 1 species
GCUGAGCAUGGUGGCGCACGCCUGUAAUCCCAGUGGCUCGGGAGGCUGAGGCAGGAGGAUAGCGAGUUCAAAGCCAGCCCUAGCCAUGGCGAGAUGCUAAGCAACUCAGUGAGACCCUGACUCUA